rnacentral:rRNA from 1 species
CAAUAGCGAAUAUUAAAGUUGUUGCAGUUAAAAAGCUCGUAGUUGAAUUUCGGGCGGCCGUGGUCGGCCCUUCAUUGGGCCGGCGCGUUCGCCCUCCCCGCCUUUGGCGGCCUUUACUGUGAAAAAAUUAGAGUGUUCAAAGCAAGCACACGCUUGAAUACAUUAGCAUGGAAUGAUGAGAUAGGAUCUAGACUAUUUUGUUGGUUGCGGUCAUAGAUAAUGAUUAACAGGGACAGUUGGGGGUGUCCGUAUUGAGCUGUCAGAGGUGAAAUUCUUGGAUUUGCUCAAGACGAACUACUGCGAAAGCAUUCACCAAGGAUGUUUUCAUUAA